rnacentral:sRNA from 1 species
CAAAGCACUUCCAAUGUGUAGGGUGUAGAAAGUUUAGGCUGUUAUAAAAGAGACUACGCAGCACUGUCAUUACUAACCCAGUUAAAGAACAGGGCCUUCGGGGACAGGCCAUGACGAUCCAAACCCUGGCCAGCAUCUACUGUUGGGAGCUAUGAUGAUUUCGUUAAAAACCUCUACAAUAGAGCAGAGCCAAUAUAGAUCGUCAAUAACGUGAGUAGAAAAACAAAUAAAGAACUUGAGAGAAAACGUUCUACUCUAAGAAAAGCUGUAAAAUGCAGAAUGUAAGAGUGUCUAAAUAUGUAGUGUCACGUUUCUAAUACCUCUAUUACAGUCCUUAUAUAGCUAACUACCUAAGUAACUAAUCAACUACCAAGAUACUGUCUAUAGCAGGUCAGCUUAGUGCCAAGAACAAGUUAGCUUCCCGUGCAAUCAGUCCUCACAGUAUGCUUCUGCUUCAGUUUUUCCAGGUAACAAUUCAGCCAGCUUCUUAAAUUUGCCUCUUAGAGUUCUUUGACCGCUUGUCCAGGUAAGCUUGACAGCUAAGCACAAUACAAAUAGACAGUUUUGACUUCAGUUAUCCAGCGUGGCAGCAGGCUUGCAAGCCUUCACAGCAGCUGCACUUUCUCCAAUUCUGCCAAUCAUCUCAUCCAGCUCAUAUUGAAGCCAAUUGCUCUCUCAAGUGCACUGCACAACUCAAAACAGCACCAAAUCACUACCAUGAACUUGCACAUCAAAGUUUAUUAACAAAAUAUUCUACAUAUUGUCUAGAAUUAAAGCUACAAAUAACAAGACUAAACUGAAAGUAACGUAAGCUCUACUACUACUUAAACUAUACUACUUAAACUAUACUGCUAAAAUAGAAUGAGGACUUUAAACUACUCUUAAAACAGAAAAUGGAUCCUAAAAACAGCUCUAAAACUUUUUAAAACAGUAAGAGAAAACUAAAAUCAAGGAUAACUAAAGCAGCAGGUAAUAUAAAAACGCACAUAAAAACUAGAAUCAACUAGGAAUCAACAAAAUAUGAUUAGUAAACUAAAAAGGAAAAACAACUAUCUAAGCAAAUUUGAAAUGCUAAGAGAAAUCUAAAAACAAAUCGAAACACUAAAAACAGUAAAGAAUACAACAUUUCACUAUGAGUUGCUCAUUGUCAUAACAAAAUCGUUGAUUGCACAACCUGGUUUAUAAGUGUCAAUGCAGCCAGUGGCAAUGGAUGAAGCGUUUUUGGGGCAUUUCUUUGACUCAAACAACUUUACGGUUGGAGGAAGAAUUAUAGCAUUUUGUGCUGCAGUCGUGCCAGAGGUUCUCUCCUCCAAGAUCAAUGGCUAGAUCCGUGUUGUUUUGGGGAGUUCCUAGGCCAAUUGUGGUGUAAAACAUAUGGCUGACAUGCUAUAAAGGGUGUUUUUUCCAGCGUUCUAUCAAUUUUUUGAGUAUUUUCAGUUAUUUUGAAAUGAACUUCUUUUAAAUGUAAAAGAUGCAUUCCAAGAUGAAUGAAUACAUUUGCGGGAUGUAGAAAGUUUAGCCUGCUAUAAAAGAGUACACAACACUAUGUCAUUACUAACCCAGUUAAAGUAGUGGCCUUCGGG